UACCAGCACCCCGAGUGGUCGGGACGAUUAUUGGGCCUAAAGCAUCCGUAGCCGGUUUUACAAGUCCUCCGUUAAAUCCAGCUGCUCAACAGAUGGGCUGCGGGAGAUACUACAGGGCUAGGAGGCGGGAGAGGCAAGCGGUACUUUAUGGGUAGGGGUAAAAUCCGCUGAUCCAUAGAAGACCACCAGUGGCGAAGGCGGCUUGCCAGAACGCGCUCGACGGUGAGGGAUGAAAGCUGGGGGAGCAAACCGG
rnacentral:rRNA from 1 species